rnacentral:rRNA from 1 species
UCUAGAGAUAGAGUUUUCCCCUUCGGGGGACAGAGUCACAGGUGGUGCAUGGUUGUCGUCAGCUCGUGUCGUGAGAUGUUGGGUUAAGUCCCGCAACGAGCGCAACCCUUAAGUUUAGUUGCCAUCAUUAAGUUGGGCACUCUAAGUUGACUGCCGGUGACAAACCGGAGGAAGGUGGGGAUGACGUCAAAUCAUCAUGCCCCUUAUGAUUUGGGCUACACACGUGCUACAAUGGACAAUACAAAGGGUAGCGAAACCGCGAGGUCAAGCAAA